rnacentral:rRNA from 1 species
GACACUCCUGCGGGAGGCAGCAGUGGGGAAUAUUGGACAAUGGGCGCAAGCCUGAUCCAGCCAUGCCGCGUGAGUGAUGAAGGCCCUAGGGUUGUAAAGCUCUUUCACCGGUGAAGAUAAUGACGGUAACCGGAGAAGAAGCCCCGGCUAACUUCGUGCCAGCAGCCGCGGUAAUACGAAGGGGGCUAGCGUUGUUCGGAUUUACUGGGCGUAAAGCGCACGUAGGCGGACUAUUAAGUCAGGGGUGAAAUCCCGGGGCUCAACCCCGGAACUGCCUUUGAUACUGGUAGUCUUGAGUUCGAGAGAGGUGAGUGGAAUUCCGAGUGUAGAGGUGAAAUUCGUAGAUAUUCGGAGGAACACCAGUGGCGAAGGCGGCUCACUGGCUCGAUACUGACGCUGAGGUGCGAAAGCGUGGGGAGCAAACAGGAUUAGAAACCCGGGUAGUCC